AGCCCAGGAGGGCAAGGCUGCAGUGAGCCAUGCUCACAUCACUGCACUCCAGCCUAGGUGAUAAUGAGUGAGACCCUGUCUCAAAAAAAAGAAAAAAAAAAAUUGCCUUACGUCAUAAAGCUUAUACCAGCAGCUCUCAGUGUGGUCUUUGGACUUCCAGGACUCCCCAGGAACCUCUUAGGGGAUGUCUACAAGGAGGUCCAAACUGUUUUCAUAAAAAUACUGAGGUGCUAUGUGCCUUUUUAACUCAUUCUCUCAGGAGUGUUCAGUGGAGUUUUCCAGAGGCUCUGUGACAUGGUGGCAUCACCCUGAUGGUUAGUGGAAUUGUGUGAGUGUGUACAUUUGUGUUCUAGAAUAUUGUAAAUUUGUAGGUUUAGGGUCUAAAUAUAUGUGUUUUAAGAGAUUAA